AAGCCUGUGAAGGUGGCCUGUGAGGGUUGCUGGAGGUAUCAGAAGUGCGAAUGCUGACAUAAGUAACGAUAAAGCGGGUGAAAAGCCCGCUCGCCGGAAGACCAAGGGUUCCUGUCCAACGUUAAUCGGGGCAGGGUGAGUCGACCCCUAAGGCGAGGCCGAAAGGCGUAGUCGAUGGGAAACGGGUUAAUAUUCCCGUACUUGGUGUUACUGCGAAGGGGGGACGGAGAAGGCUAUGUUGGCCGGGCGACGGUUGUCCCGGUUUAAGCGUGUAGGUGUGUGUUCCAGGUAAAUCCGGUUCACUUUAACACUGAGGCGUGAUGACGAGGCACUACGGUGCUGAAGCAACAAAUGCCCUGCUUCCAGGAAAAGCCUCUAAGCAUCAGGUAACAUCAAAUCGUACCCCAAACCGACACAGGUGGUCAGGUAGAGAAUACCAAGGCGCUUGAGAGAACUCGGGUGAAGGAACUAGGCAAAAUGGUGCCGUAACUUCGGGAGAAGGCACGCUGACACGUAGGUGAAGUGAUUUACUCAUGGAGCUGAAGUCAGUCGAAGAUACCAGCUGGCUGCAACUGUUUAUUAAAAACACAGCACUGUGCAAACACGAAAGUGGACGUAUACGGUGUGACGCCUGCCCGGUGCCGGAAGGUUAAUUGAUGGGGUCAGCGCAAGCGAAGCUCCUGAUCGAAGCCCCGGUAAACGGCGGCCGUAACUAUAACGGUCCUAAGGUAGCGAAAUUCCUUGUCGGGUAAGUUCCGACCUGCACGAAUGGCGUAAUGAUGGCCAGGCUGUCUCCACCCGAGACUCAGUGAAAUUGAACUCGCUGUGAAGAUGCAGUGUACCCGCGGCAAGACGGAAAGACCCCGUGAACCUUUACUAUAGCUUGACACUGAACAUUGAGCCUUGAUGUGUAGGAUAGGUGGGAGGCUUUGAAGUGUGGACGCCAGUCUGCAUGGAGCCGACCUUGAAAUACCACCCUUUAAUGUUUGAUGUUCUAACGUGGACCCGUAAUCCGGGUUGCGGACAGUGUCUGGUGGGUAGUUUGACUGGGGCGGUCUCCUCCUAAAGAGUAACGGAGGAGCACGAAGGUUGGCUAAUCCUGGUCGGACAUCAGGAGGUUAGUGCAAUGGCAUAAGCCAGCUUGACUGCGAGCGUGACGGCGCGAGCAGGUGCGAAAGCAGGUCAUAGUGAUCCGGUGGUUCUGAAUGGAAGGGCCAUCGCUCAACGGAUAAAAGGUACUCCGGGGAUAACAGGCUGAUACCGCCCAAGAGUUCAUAUCGACGGCGGUGUUUGGCACCUCGAUGUCGGCUCAUCACAUCCUGGGGCUGAAGUAGGUCCCAAGGGUAUGGCUGUUCGCCAUUUAAAGUGGUACGCGAGCUGGGUUUAGAACGUCGUGAGACAGUUCGGUCCCUAUCUGCCGUGGGCGCUGGAGAACUGAGGGGGGCUGCUCCUAGUACGAGAGGACCGGAGUGGACGCAUCACUGGUGUUCGGGUUGUCAUGCCAAUGGCACUGCCCGGUAGCUAAAUGCGGAAGAGAUAAGUGCUGAAAGCAUCUAAGCACGAAACUUGCCCCGA
rnacentral:rRNA from 1 species